rnacentral:rRNA from 1 species
CCUACGGGAGGCUGCAGUGAGGAAUAUUGGUCAAUGGUCGGGAGACUGAACCAGCCAAGCCGCGUGAGGGAUGAAGGUACAGAGUAUCGUAAACCUCUUUUGUCAGGGCACAAAGGCGGGGACGUGUCCCCGGAUGAGUGUACCUGAAGACAAAGCAUCGGCUCACUCCGUGCCAGCAGCCGCGGUAAUACGGAGGAUGCGCGCGUUAUCCGGAUUUAUUGGGUUUAAGGGGUGCGCAGGCGGUCUGUUAAGUCCGCGGUAAAAGCCCGGGGCGCAACCCCGGCCCGCCGUUGAAACUGGCAGUCUCGAGUUGGAGAGAAGUAUGCGGAAUGCGCGGUGUAGCGGUGAAAUGCAUAGAUAUCGCGCAGAACUCCGAUUGCGAAGGCAGCAUGCCGGCUCCACACUGACGCUGAGGCACGAAAGCGUGGGUAUCGAACAGGAUUAGAUACCCUAGUAGUC